rnacentral:rRNA from 1 species
CCUACGGGAGGCAGCAGUGGGGAAUAUUGCACAAUGGGGGGAACGCUGAUGCAGCGACGCCGCGUGGGUGAAGAAGUAUUUAGGUAUGUAAAGCCCUAUCAGCAGGGAAGAAAAAUGACGGUACCUGACUAAGAAGCACCGGCUAAAUACGUGCGAGCAGCCGAGGUAAUACGUAUGGUGCAAGCGUUAACCGGAUUUACGGGGGGUAAAGGGAGCGCAGGCGGCCCGCUAAGCCUGAUGUGAAAACCCGCGGCCCAACCGCGGGAGUGCAUUGGGAACUGGCGGGCUGGAGGACCAGAGGGGCAGGCGGAAUUCCUAGUGUAGCGGUGAAAUGCGUAGAUAUUAGGAGGAACACCAGUGGCGAAGGCGGCCUGCUGGACGGAGACUGACGCUGAGGCUCGAAAGCGUGGGGAGCAAACAGGAUUAGAUACCCGAGUAGUC